rnacentral:rRNA from 1 species
AGAGUUUGAUCCUGGCUCAGGAUGAACGCUASCGACAGGCUUAACACAUGCAAGUCGAGGGGCAGCACGGGAGUAGCAAUACAACUGGUGGCGACCGGCGCACGGGUGAGUAACGCGUAUGCAACCUACCUAUCAGAGGGGAAUAACCCGGCGAAAGUCGGACUAAUACCGCAUAAAACAGGGGCACCGCAUGGUGAUAUUUGUUAAAGAAAUUCGCUGAUAGAUGGGCAUGCGUUCCAUUAGGUAGUUGGUGAGGUAACGGCUCACCAAGCCGACGAUGGAUAGGGGAACUGAGAGGUUGGUCCCCCACACUGGUACUGAGACACGGACCAGACUCCUACGGGAGGCAGCAGUGAGGAAUAUUGGUCAAUGGGCGGGAGCCUGAACCAGCCAAGUCGCGUGAAGGAAGAAGGAUCUAUGGUUCGUAAACUUCUUUUGCAGGGGAAUAAAGUGCAGGACGUGUCCUGUUUUGUAUGUACCCUGAGAAUAAGGAUCGGCUAACUCCGUGCCAGCAGCCGCGGUAAUACGGAGGAUCCGAGCGUUAUCCGGAUUUAUUGGGUUUAAAGGGUGCGUAGGUGGUUUGAUAAGUCAGCGGUGAAAGUUUGCAGCUUAACUGUAAAAAUGCCGUUGAAACUGUCGGACUUGAGUGUAAAUGAGGUAGGCGGAAUGCGUGGUGUAGCGGUGAAAUGCAUAGAUAUCACGCAGAACUCCGAUUGCGAAGGCAGCUUACUAAGCUACAACUGACACUGAAGCACGAAAGCGUGGGGAUCAAACAGGAUUAGAUACCCUGGUAGUCCACGCAGUAAACGAUGAUUACUAGCUGUUUGCGAUACACAGUAAGCGGCACAGCGAAAGCGUUAAGUAAUCCACCUGGGGAGUACGCCGGCAACGGUGAACUCAAAGGAAUUGACGGGGGGCCCGCACAGCGGAGGACAUGUGUUUAUCGAUGAWACGCGRGAACUUACCGGUUGAACGUAGGAGACAGGAGUGGAAACAUUCUUUCAGCAUGACKGCUACAGUGCUGCAUGGUGUCGUCAGCUCGGKCCGUGRGG